GGGAGAUGUCGGUUCAGACUGUCAAAAGCAUUGAUUGUCAUAUUGAAAUAGUUUGAAAAAGGCAACCACGAAAAUCACUUCAACAACAACCAGGGAGAGGAGAGACGAGGAAGCUUGACAUUCAAAUCGAUAAGCCAACCUGAUGCAGAAUCCAUACAACAAUUCCAGCAAACUCAACUAUUCCUAUAUAUCUGUCAAUCCAACUAGCAUCUUCGGGUGCAUCUACAUCCACCACAGGUGCACUAAGGAUGUUAUGUUGUGCAAGUAUUUUUACUGCCUCGGCUAGGGUGGCAUCUGAUUUUAUCUCAACUUCUGAACACAGAAAAUUACAACAACAAAAAAGUUACAUUCUGAGGCUGAAACUGAAAAGAAAUUGGCAUUAUCAUCAUAUCAACAGC